rnacentral:rRNA from 1 species
CACGUAGGGGGCAAGCGUUGUCCGGAAUUAUUGGGCGUAAAGAGCUUGUAGGCGGUUUGUCGCGUCUGCUGUGAAAUUUCGGGGCUCAACCCCGAACUUGCAGUGGGUACGGGCAGACUAGAGUGUGGUAGGGGAGACUGGAAUUCCUGGUGUAGCGGUGAAAUGCGCAGAUAUCAGGAGGAACACCGAUGGCGAAGGCAGGUCUCUGGGCCAUAACUGACGCUGAGAAGCGAAAGCAUGGGGAGCGAACAGG